CCACCACAACUAAAGGGCAGGACUCCUCUUUGCCUUCCCACCUCUUUUUUUUUAAUGUGUGGGUUUCUUUGGGAGAGGGUUAAAAUUGCCUUUUGUCCAGCCGGGCUGAGACGGGGGCGUUUUUGUCCGGGGAAGCUUUAACGCUGGGUGAGCAGGGAGAAAAGGCAGAGCCCAGGAGCCUUUGUGAUGCCAUGAACUUGUGGGGCUGAGGAUGGGGUUCAGGGGGACUGCCACUCCCAGAAUCCCCCCGCCAAAGGCAGUCCGAGCAAGCCCUGGGUCCCAACCACGGCUGUUGGACCAAAGUUUAUUUAAACAGCCCAAAGGCUCCAGAUGAGCGGGUGUGAAGGAGAUGUCUCCCCCCGGUUGCCUCCUGCCACGGGCCACUGCCAAACCAAACAAGUCCGGGGGGAGAAGAAGCCGGAGACAGGAAAUUGGAAGUGCCCUGUGUGUGUCUGCCUUUGUGCGCGCCUUGUGUUUUUGUCUGACGCCAAGUUUCCCCUGAGUGCGUCCAUUUGGACUCCGUCUAGCCUGGCAGGCUCCAGAAACCAGAAAACCUCCAAAAAAGCCUGGCCCGAGGAGGAAGAGAGAGGAAGCCUCCUUCCUUUUGUACCUUCUUGGAGAAGAAGGACUCCAUGUGUCCCCAAAAGUGCCGGGAUUGCAGGUGAAACACCUCCACCAGGUAACCUGCUCACCGAAGAGUCAACUUGCCAGAUGGUUCCAGCCGAGUGGACUUUGCCUUCUGUAUUCCUCUUAUGGUGCCGUCAUCUGAUAACAGCGGGCUCCUAUUGAAAACAACCAGAAAAGUGGAGGACAUGGUCACCACUGCAUGCCAGGUAAUGUUGCCACUCAUCAAGAUACUUUUGAAAUUGCUUUGUUCCACAAUGCUGUGCCUACAAGAUAAGCGAAGUCACCAGUCCCAGAAGCAGAGAUGCCAACCACACAGAAGUCAACAAAAUAAUUUAAACAAAAUGGCUACUGCAGCUAAUUUUUCAGCUUUUUCCAAGGGGCAACAAAGAGCUGGGAAGUCUUCUGCCUCUGGAUGAAGUAUGACAUCAGAUGCGAAAAUCAUAUUCAGUCUUGUGGAUGUGACGUACAAGUAACAUACUAUGAACUAUUUCCAAUUGUAUACAGAAAGAGCACAUCUCAUGGAGUAACUCCAGAGAAGGCAAAGUUGUCAACUUUGCCCUUUAUGAAUCCUGGCCACAAUGUAAUGUCAAGACCAACAAUCAAGGGAGAUUCCAACAGUUCCACCAAAUGACACUUUGUCUUUGUCAUUUAGGAUCAUGAAUCAUGAUCAUGAAUCAAAAAACAAUACAGACAGCUGUUUGAAAGCUUUAUUUUUUAAAAAAACACAGUUGAAAAAUGUUUGAGUCUGAAAAUUGAAAGAUACCAUCCAGAAGAGUGCAGAGUCCCUCCCCCCUUUUGUAACACAAACUCUGACCACUUUGGUUCAGAUACUUACAAGAAUUGGCAAGAUAGAACUUCUAACGUAUUUUGGCUGUCUUUUCAAAACAGAUUUACAAAUAAAUCUUUACAAGUAAAAUACUCAUUUUAUGUUUACAUAUUUACAUUUACCAUUGUCCUCUUUAGUUGCACCUAGUAUUAAAGGUGUUGUAAAAAUUGUUCUUUGCUGCUCUAUAAUGGUUAUUUCCAACUACAUUUAAUGAGUUCAGUGGGUAUUUUCUUGCAGAUACACGUUCACUUCGGCAUACUGAAUGCGUAAUAUCAUUCAAAAUUGAGUAAUUUUGAGAGAAAGGAUAUUAAUACGUCUUUAAGAACCAAUUAAAUGUGAUAAGCAAGGCUUUAAGGCUGCAAUGUUUUGUUUAUUAUUGAGCAGUACCAGACCUUAAUGGCAUUCCUUCAAAGCAAGUGUUCCUGUUUGCCAUCUUCCUGACCACUCCUUCACUAAAGAAUAAAUCAAACCUACCUGCCUAGAGCACCUAAGUAUUUUCAAAACAGAUUCAAGACCAAGAAAGGUAAGGUUACCUACGCUCAUAUGGAGUAUAAUUCCCAAACUUUCAUGAGAUCUUUGUUAAUUUUUCCUAGCUAAUGAAGGGACUUGGAUAUAUAGUUGUUCACCUGUGCAAGCCUGGAUUGUCUUCAAAAGCAAAUCCCACAGGAGCCCAGAACAACAUUUUAUUUACCUUUCAACCACUAUUUAGAGGAGCUCCAAUUGAGAUGCAGAGGGAGGUCUCUCCCAAACCUUUUUUCUGUCACCUUGACUCAGGGGCAAGUGAUGGUAGCCAGAGGGUUUUAGUUCUUCUGGGACAUAAUGUACCAUGAAGACGAGUGAAGAUAUGAUGAAUUUGCCUCCAGGUCAGAUUCUAACCCAAAUUUUGGGAGGGGGCAGAAUUAAGCAUGUAUCUAUUUUUUUUAUUGUUUUCCAGCAGGUUUUUAAAAAGCCUUUUAUAAGUUUGGAAAAUUUUGCUAAUGUUCCUAGUUUUAAAAUAGCAAUACUCAAACUAUGUGUCAGGGAAGGAGAGUUUCAGACUAUGGACAACAUCUAGCAGUAGUGGAGUCAUUUUUUUCAGCAGUGGAACCAAGUAUGGAGCCAUGAAAACUAUAAUGAGAUUUUAAGAAGCCCAGUUCUCCUUCAGUGUGGGAUUAGUGCCCUGAUCCACAGAAUCUUGUCUCCACAACAGUAGGCUAUAUCCAUAUCAUUAUUUAACUUCAGCUUAAAGUCUUAAACAUUAGUCACUGACUAGACUAGAAGACACAGGAGAUUGAAAAUGGAAGAUGAUCUAACUGCUCAAUGUAAAAAGUUAGCAGCACGGUAAAAGUGCGCUUGGUAAGCUGAACCAUAGGGGUUUAAGUGUAAGACAUAAACUAGCAUUACUAAUUAAUUUAUUGCUAUUUUUUUUUUGCUUCCACUCAGGAAUAUUAUACUCUUUUAAGAUUCAGUUCUUCAAUGAAGAUAUUAAAGAGACUACAAGGCUCAGAUUUUUCUCAACUGCACAUUGCCCUUAAAAAUUUGAGACCCAAUACUUGUUGUUCAUUAGGUCAACUGCAGUCUAUGCUAUCUAAAUGACUAUUGUGCUCACCAUGAAAUAUUUAUGAAACAUCAGAUACUUAAUGUAGUAACAGAAGCACUCUUCCUUACAAGGCAAUCACAGAUUGCAAGUUCUGUAGAGUUGCAAACACCAACCCUAAAACCCAAAACACAAAGAGUUCUUCAGAAAUACACUGUAAAACAGGAUCAUGUAUAAGAAGCAUUCAGUAACAUUGUUGGCUUGAUCUGUUUUUCUCAUGGCAAAACUUGUUUAGAUUCUGAAACCAGUCAGACUUUCAGAAAGCUCAACAGCUGUCACAUAGGAAUGACUCCCCCCCCCCCCCCCCCCCCAAUAA